rnacentral:rRNA from 1 species
GCUUUCGGAGCUAACGCGUUAAGUAGACCGCCUGGGGAGUACGGUCGCAAGAUUAAAACUCAAAUGAAUUGACGGGGGCCCGCACAAGCGGUGGAGCAUGUGGUUUAAUUCGAUGCAACGCGAAGAACCUUACCUACUCUUGACAUCCAGAGAACUUUCCAGAGAUGGAUUGGUGCCUUCGGGAACUCUGAGACAGGUGCUGCAUGGCUGUCGUCAGCUCGUGUUGUGAAAUGUUGGGUUAAGUCCCGCAACGAGCGCAACCCUUAUCCUUGUUUGCCAGCGAGUAAUGUCGGGAACUCCAGGGAGACUGCCGGUGAUAAACCGGAGGAAGGUGGGGACGACGUCAAGUCAUCAUGGCCCUUACGAGUAGGGCUACACACGUGCUACAAUGGCGCAUACAGAGGGCGGCCAACUUGCGAAAGUGAGCGAAUCCCAAAAAGUGCGUCGUAGUCCGGAUUGGAGUCUGCAACUCGACUCCAUGAAGUCGGAAUCGCUAGUAAUCGUGGAUCAGAAUGCCACGGUGAAUACGUUCCCGGGCCUUGUACACACCGCCCGUCAC